rnacentral:rRNA from 1 species
UAGGGAAUCCUCCGCAAUGGACGAAAGUCUGACGGAGCAACGCCGCGUGAGUGAAGAAGGAUUUCGGUUCGCAAAACUCUGUUGUUAGGGAAGAAAAAAUGUAUAGUAACUAUAUACAAAAGAGACGGUACCUAACCAGAAAGCCACGGCUAACUACGUGCCAGCAGCCGCGGUAAUACGUAGGUGGCAAGCGUUGUCCGGAAUUAUUGGGCGUAAAGCGCGCGCAGGUGGUUUAGAAAGUCUGAUGUGAAAGCCCACGGCUCAACCGUGGAGGGUCAUUGGAAACUAAUAAACUUGAGUGCAGGAGAGAAAAGUGGAAUUCCUAGUGUAGCGGUGAAAUGCGUAGAGAUUAGGAGGAACACCGGUGGCGAAAGCGGCUUUUUGGCCUGCAACUGACACUGAGGCGCGAAAGCGUGGGGAGCAAACAGG